rnacentral:rRNA from 1 species
CACGUAGGGCGCAAGCGUUGUCCGGAAUUAUUGGGCGUAAAGAGCUCGUAGGCGGUCUGUUGCGUCCGCUGUGAAAUCUCGGGGCUUAACCCCGAGCCUGCAGUGGAUACGGGCAGACUAGAGGUAGGUAGGGGAGAAUGGAAUUCCCGGUGUAGCGGUGAAAUGCUUAGAUAUCGUCAAGAACACCGAUAGCGAAGGCAGCUUACUGGGCUGUAACUGACGCUGAGGCACGAAAGUGUGGGGAUCAAACAGG